AGGGUUCGAUUCUGGCUCAGGAUGAACGCUAGCGACAGGCUUAACACAUGCAAGUCGAGGGGCAUCACGGGAGUAGCAAUACAACUGGUGGCGACCGGCGCACGGGUGAGUAACGCGUAUGCAACCUACCUAUCAGAGGGGAAUAACCCGGCGAAAGUCGGACUAAUACCGCAUAAAACAGGGGCACCGCAUGGUGAUAUUUGUUAAAGAAAUUCGCUGAUAGAUGGGCAUGCGUUCCAUUAGGUAGUUGGUGAGGUAACGGCUCACCAAGCCGACGAUGGAUAGGGGAACUGAGAGGUUGGUCCCCCACACUGGUACUGAGACACGGACCAGACUCCUACGGGAGGCAGCAGUGAGGAAUAUUGGUCAAUGGGCGGGAGCCUGAACCAGCCAAGUCGCGUGAAGGAAGAAGGAUCUAUGGUUCGUAAACUUCUUUUGCAGGGGAAUAAAGUGCAGGACGUGUCCUGUUUUGUAUGUACCCUGAGAAUAAGGAUCGGCUAACUCCGUGCCAGCCGCCGC
rnacentral:rRNA from 1 species